GAUGAAGAACGCAGCGAAAUGCGAUAAGUAAUGUGAAUUGCAGAAUUCAGUGAAUCAUCGAAUCUUUGAACGCAUCUUGCGCUCCUUGGUAUUCUGAGGAGCAUGCCUGUUUGAGUGUCAUUAAAUUCUCAACUACACUGACUUUGAAUUGGUGUGGCUUGGAUUUGGGGGGAAAAUUGUUGUGGGCUUUUUGUAUAGUCUGCUCCCCUGAAAUUGAUUAGCGGUACCUUUGUGGAACUGUCUACAGGUGUGAUAAUUAUCUACAUCUUAGACAUCUGCUGGAAUGCUGCUUUCUAAGCCUUACUUGUAUUGACAAUCUUGACCUCAAAUCAGGUAGGACUACCCGCUGAACUUAAGCAUAUCAAUAAGCGGAGGA
rnacentral:misc_RNA from 1 species